rnacentral:rRNA from 1 species
UACGGAGGGUGCAAGCGUUAUCCGGAUUCACUGGGUUUAAAGGGUGUGUAGGCGGCUAUUUAAGUCAGUGGUGAAAUCUCCGGGCUCAACCCGGAAACUGCCAUUGAUACUAUUUAUCUUGAAUUCUGUUGAGGUGGGCGGAAUACAUCAUGUAGCGGUGAAAUGCUUAGAUAUGAUGUAGAACACCGAUUGCGAAGGCAGCUCACUAAACAGACAUUGACGCUGAGGCACGAAAGCGUGGGGAUCAAACAGG